ensembl:lncRNA
AUGAGUCCGGACACACGACCUUCGCCGCUGGAACCAGCCUUUCCGCCGCCGCCCCAAAAUGCACCAGCAUCAAAGCCUUAUCCGUCACCAGGUAUGUUUGCGAGUAUUAGUGUGUGUGUGUGUGUGUGUGUGUGUGUUUUUUUUACACGCGUACAAAAGUGUGUCACAGUUUCACAAUUAACUGGUGAAUGGAAAGUUCUCCCUGCAGACGUCUCCUCAUUACCUGCUGUGUGUACUUGGAGCUCGCCCAUCGUUUCCCCUGGACUGGAAAAAAAGAGUGUCAUCGUCACCGUAAAUAACAUUGUCCCUCCACCCCCCCCUUUUAUUUUCACCUGGCAGUCCUUGUGUGGUUUCCGCAGCUCUCCAUGCAUGAAGAUUUACUGCUUUAUAUAUCAUUUAGGAACUCAUUUAAAUCAACUCCCCUUAUGUUCAGCCAGAAACAAAGGAUGGUUCAGUAGAUGUAUUUCUCUACGUAAGGCGGGCGGACAGAGAUCUUGUCACAUAAAUAAAAAGUUGACUUCCGUGCACGUGUGUAAAUAUUAUAGUUACGCAAACACAAAAAUAAACACAUGA